GGAGGCAGUAGACCAUGGUGGAGGCCAAGAGCACGCCAACGAUGCACAAGAUGGACACGACGGUGAGGAUGAGGAACUUGGUAGACUCGGCUUGGCUGUACUUGGUCGGAAUCUGGUUGAUCUGGCUCUCCUAAUCAUCUCGCAACCAGCACCUCCUCCCGCUUCCACUUCCCAUUCCAGUCCGGCUG